rnacentral:rRNA from 1 species
UGGGGAAUUUUGGACAAUGGGCGAAAGCCUGAUCCAGCAAUGCCGCGUGUGUGAAGAAGGCCUUCGGGUUGUAAAGCACUUUUGUCCGGAAAGAAAUCCUUGGCUCUAAUACAGUCGGGGGACGACGGUACCGGAAGAAUAAGCACCGGCUAACUACGUGCCAGCAGCCGCGGUAAUACGUAGGGUGCAAGCGUUAAUCGGAAUUACUGGGCGUAAAGCGUGCGCAGGCGGUUUGCUAAGACCGAUGUGAAAUCCCCGGGCUCAACCUGGGAACUGCAUUGGUGACUGGCAGGCUAGAGUAUGGCAGAGGGGGGUAGAAUUCCACGUGUAGCAGUGAAAUGCGUAGAGAUGUGGAGGAAUACCGAUGGCGAAGGCAGCCCCCUGGGCCAAUACUGACGCUCAUGCACGAAAGCGUGGGGAGCAAACAGGAUUAGAUACCCUGGUAGUCCAGCGCCCUAAACGAUGUCAACUAGUUGUUGGGGACUUCAUUUCCUUAGUAACGUAGCUAACGCGUGAAGUUGACCGCCUGGGGAGUACGGUCG